rnacentral:misc_RNA from 1 species
GUUGGUGAACCAGCGGAGGGAUCAUUACCAGAGUGCCCUAGGCUCUCCAACCCAUUGUGAACAUACCUAUCGUUCCCUCGGCGGGCUCAGCGCGCGGUGCCUCCGGGCUCCGGGCGUCCGCCGGGGACAACCAAACUCUGAUUUUAUUGUGAAUCUCUGAGGGGCGAAAGCCCGAAAACAAAAUGAAUCAAAACUUUCAACAACGGAUCUCUUGGCUCUG